UACCUGAAGAGGACAAUGAAAUAUCUCCUUUACCUUUAUCCUGCUUCUGUGUAGCAGAGUCUCAAAUGAAUACAGACUUCAGGGUCGUGGCUCUUUGAGAAUGUCACACAGCACUUUACGCCCACAGCAUACAAUGCUUCCAGAAAGUCUAGGUCAAGGCAGCCGGACAGUACCAGGAGCCUCAGGCCCUGUCGCUGAAGCUGCCCCAUCGUGCCACACUUCACAACUUCCAAGGUAGAGUUCUCUCUGAAAACUCACAAUCUUGCCAUCUGUCUCCGUUCUCAUAUCUCAAUCUAUUCAGCUUAUCAGUCUCCAUGUGCCACUUUCCCAUGAGGCAUUUCAACAUCCAUGUAAAUCAGAAGUGAUGCAUAAACUAGGUGUCAGGAGCAUAGGGGAGCACAAGGCAUUAUCUAUUUCUGUGAGCCAUGCUUAACAUACAGCUACUCAGUACCAAAGAACUCAGUCGCUACAAUAUAGAGAUAAUUACAAACAAAUGAGUGACAUCAACGAGAUCUAAGUUGUCAUAAAUACAAUUUCAUAUUUUUUUAUGAAUGAAAAAAUAUUUAUCUUUUUUCAAAAAUUCACUUGGAAAUUAUUUUCAUGAUACAGUACCAUGAUCAUGAUUUUAUCAUACUCUCCAACAACAUCAAUAAGAAAAACCAGCUCAGGGCAGGCCCUGUGGCAUAGUGGUUAAGUCCAGCACACUCUGCUUUGGCAGCCCAGGUUCACAAUUUUGGAUCCUGGGCAUGGACUGACACCACUCGUCAAGCCACACUUUGGUGGUGAUCCACAUACAAAAUAGAUGAAGAUUAGCAAGGUGUUAGCUCAGAGUAAAUUUUCCUCAACGAAAAAAAGAAAAGAAAGCUCUCAAGCUCUGAAGCUUUUCCUAUACUCUGCUCUUCUCCCCCAAGGCCCUAACAUUCCACACACAUUCCAUGGUUGCCAGGAUGCCCUGCUUUAUUCAGCAUUACAUCACCAGAUGCUAGGAACAUAUCUGGAGUAGAGUGGACUUUUGUGACUCUGAAGUUUGGCCCAGUGUAGUCACAGUCGAUUGCUAGUAAUAUUCAGAUUGAAUCCAGAGAAGUCAACUGCAGAGUUCAAUCGCGCAAUUGUGAUGAUACAAACGUAGCCUCCUUUAUGUUAAGGAUGGCGAUACUAGAUGGUCGUCUGAGGCGAUUGAGGCCUGCUCAUCACACUUGAGUGAGCUCGAAAGCUGACCCUUCAGUCCUGGUCAAGCCAGAUGAGAUGACUGCAGAGCUGGGAGACAGCUUGACUGCCGAGACCCUGGGCCAGAAUCGCUCAGCUAGGUGGCUCUAGGAUACGGGAACUUCAGAACCUGCACGAGAUAAGAAGUAUAUUAACCUGCUAAAUUUUGAUGAAUUUGUUCACAGCAAUAAAUAACAUACAGCUAGA